GAUGAACGCUGGCGGCAUGCCUAAUACAUGCAAGUCGAACGAGAGGAAGGAAAGCUUGCUUUUCUGAAUCUAGUGGCGAACGGGUGAGUAACACGUAGGUAACCUGCCCAUGUGCCCGGGAUAACUUCUGGAAACGGAUGCUAAAACCGGAUAGGUAGCAGACAAGCAUUUGACUGCUAUUAAAGUGGCUAAGGCCAUGAACAUGGAUGGACCUGCGGUGCAUUAGCUAGUUGGUGAGGUAACGGCCCACCAAGGCGACGAUGCAUAGCCGGCCUGAGAGGGCGGACGGCCGCAUUGGGACUGAGACACGGCCCAAACUCCUACGGGAGGCAGCAGUAGGGAAUUUUCGUCAAUGGGGGGAACCUUGAACGAGCAAUGCCGCGUGAGUGAAGAAGGUCUUCGGAUCGUAAAGCUCUGUUGUAAGAGAAAAACGACAUUCAUAGGGAAUGAUGAGUGAGUGAUGGUAUCUUACCAGAAAGUCACG
rnacentral:rRNA from 1 species